AGCAUGUGAAUAAAGCUUCCCUUUCUUACCACUGCUCCUGAUCUAAUGUUCAUUUAUUGGAUUCUGGACCGAUGAGUGUUUCUCUGAAAAGUGAGGAGUUCCAUCUGCAAGACCCAGGUCAAUGCAGCCCAACGUCAAACUCAGUGCUUCUGUCUAUUUAUCUGCCCAUCCACUUUAUGGGUAGAGAGGAACUGUCUAUGGAAGCACUGCUAUUCCUAUAUAAUAGACAUGAAGCAAUAGUUCUGUUCUUUGGAAGGUUACAGGAUGAAACAGGACAUAUUCUGAACAUGUAAUUUCCUUUUCUUCCCCUCCCUGCCUUGAUAAAGCUGAAGAGUGGCCAACUGGAAGCAGGUACCUGUCAGCUGGCAAGAUUUCCAGACUGAAAUGUCACUACAGAGUAACUUGAAGCGCUCCCAUGUGGUGGGGCAGGGAAGGAAUCUGAGCCUGAUAGCUGAACCCUGGAGCAUGUCUGGGGCCAAGGACACAAACUAACAGGAGGAUGAUACUGCAAAUUUUUAUGUAACACGUAGUCGUGCCUCAACAGCAAAGUUGUCUACUAAUUUCCCACGGUGGGCGUAGACAAGCCUGGAUCUGAAACCAGCAUUACAAAUCCAGGUAAGGCAGAAUUAUGACACAAAUGAGAUGUGUAAGUAACUGAGUCAGGAUUAACAGGAAUGAUAAUGACUUGUAACAUGUUCCAGGGCUGUGUAAAUAAGAGAUGGCAGGGACAGAAGGUGGUACAGGUGAUGGUGGGUGUUUAGCAGCAGCCUUUCUGAAUACCCAGGCAAUUCUCCUUUGCUGUUUCAAAGGACAAGUUAGUUCAAGGGAGCAGGGGGGGAAUCAGAUGUGUUUGUAAACAAAAGAAAAAAAGUCCCUACAGUUUUUGUGAUGAUUAAAACCAUUCUAAAUCCACGGGGUUUUAAAAGGAACUGUAGUAAGAAGCAAAGCUGCCUGAUCACUUCAUGGGAGUGCUAUGUCAAGAUUCUCAUUGGCUUUCUAACCCACAGAGAGGUUUUUUAGGAACAUGAAGCAGAAUGAACUUCAAUAUUAAGAUGAGAAAGGGCGAUGUUGGGAUUUUAUACACAUGGGCUGCUCAAGGGAGCAAAAAAAUAUGAAGGUGUAAAGUUAAAUAUUUUUUUCUCUGAUAGCACAACUGAUGUAAGUACCUGUCCCAGUAUCUAUUUCUGAAUUCUCUUGUUGAACUUAGGAAAAUGUACACUGUGAAGAGAUUUCAUUAAAUGCAUUAAACAUAAAAAGUUUUCUUUAAAAACAAACAAACAAACACUUUGAGGCUUUCUUUAUCUUACAGUCAUUGCUCUGGCCCAUUUCUGAGGGGCUGAGAAGUCAGAUCAGUGCCAGAGAACACGUGCUGUGGUCACCUACCCCCUUGCCCAGGCCCCUGAGAUUUACACUUGUGAGCAAAAGCUGGUCUAUAAGGCACUUGAAAAGAGAACAAAGAGCUCAAAUCCAAUACAGGAUGGGAAAACUGGGAAGUCAGUGAGACACAAAACAGGAAGAAGCCUGUGCCAAGUAACAGGCAAAGUAACAUGCCAAAGCUGUGUCACAGGACAGAGCUCAAGCCUGGAAAAUGAGGAUAAGGGGGGUUUCCAGCCUCUAAUGCAAUUUUUCGACUAUUGUGGGUACAUGAGAAAGUAAGUGGUUGAAGUUUGUUCUGUUUUCAUUUUAAACAUGUAGCUGAGUAGCUUCUGACUGCAUUUCUGGUAACAAUGCAGAGUUCUGUUGCUUGCAUAACCUGUUCAUCAUGCCAUUACUUAAUAACAUACCUCCCAAGCCUUGCCAAAAUAGCCUCUAUCAAGGUUCUUCUGGCAUGAACAAAAGGGACUAGAGAUUAAGCCAUCAAAAUGUCAGUUCCUUGACUGCACUGCCUGCAGAUGCAACAUUUACAUAUGCUUCUUAUUCCUAGCUAUCAACUGCAAUUAGUUUUACAACAUAUUAACCCAUCAGACUGGGUGCUCUCAUGGAAAAUAAGAAAUCCCAAUGCUCACCCCCCUACAUUACAGCAUGGCUGCUAACAUCCCACUGUAUUUUUUUAGGGCUGGGUGUGUGCAUAUG